CAGUCGCCGCGGGAAUACGUAGGGUGCGAGCGUUAAUCGGAAUUACUGGGCGUAAAGCGUGCGCAGGCGGUUGUGUAAGACAGGUGUGAAAUCCCCGGGCUUAACCUGGGAACUGCGCUUGUGACUGCACAGCCAGAGUAUGGCAGAGGGGGGUGGAAUUCCACGUGUAGCAGUGAAAUGCGUAGAGAUGUGGAGGAACACCGAUGGCGAAGGCAGCCCCCUGGGCCAAUACUGACGCUCAUGCACGAAAGCGUGGGGAGCAAACAGGAUUAGAUACCCCGGUAGUCCCUGUCUUUAUACA
rnacentral:rRNA from 1 species